rnacentral:ncRNA from 1 species
CUCUCGUGAUUAGUCAAGGCUUUUACGGAGCGACCUUAGAAAUAUGGUCAGCUUGCUUGUCCUACUUCGGUAAAUACAUUGAGAGGUUUGUAAAAGUUGGAGUAGCUUUAAGAGUGAAAGAACAAGACAAC